ACGCUCGACACCUACGGGAGUCAGCAGUGGGGAAUAUUGCACAAUGGGGGAAACCCUGAUGCAGCGACGCCGCGUGGAGGAAGAAGGUCUUCGGAUUGUAAACUCCUGUUGUUGGGGAAAAAGAGGAUGGUACCCAACAAGGAAGUGACGGCUAACUACGUGCCAGAGCCGCCGGUAAGUACUGAGCGGGGCCGUGGCGAAGGACG
rnacentral:rRNA from 1 species